GGAGCUGGGUUCGAGCGCUGGGGCUGCGGUUGGGAAACUACUGGAGGAUGUGGUGCACCAGAAUAAGAGAAUAAACCAAGAAACAGGAAGACGUGAUCCAGGCAACAGGAUAUUCCAGUAUAGGUGAGGAAUGUGAUGUUCUCCCAUUGUUCCUUAGUUAGAGUCCUGAAUAUUUUUACUUUUUUUGGAGAAUUGAGUCACACUAUGUUUCCUAGGCUGG
rnacentral:lncRNA from 10 species